rnacentral:lncRNA from 1 species
CAGACAACAAUAUACAGUUCCUCAUUAUGUUUAACUUAUCUUUUAGUCAGAUCUUUAAGUUGAAAGUGCUAAAGUGACAGUAGAGACCUUGAAGCAAUUACGAGCUAAACGUUAUAAUAGCUUGAACACUCCGUACUUUAACUUUUUAUAUAUUAUAACACCAACAUAUUGGCGAUUAUUUCACACAUUCCAUAUCAGCCACACGUACCAGACAGGUGAUGCUGGCAAUUAACUGGAAAUUAUUUAGUACAUGAUGAUUAUAAUGAGAUUCAUGUUUAGCAGUUAACUGGGGCAAUGACAGCACCAACGACAGUAAGGCCCGUCUUCCAGGUGGUUCCAUCACAUCCAUUCAUCGAGAACUUGACAUCAGUAUUCUCACAGCCACAGGCGCCUGUGUUGCAGAAUUCACCAACCUUAAGUCCCACCAAAGUAUUCGUUGGCUUUGUCUUCAAAUCUUCCUUGUGCUCUUCAGUAGUGCCGUUGGGACGAGUAAGCUUAAGGGUCACUGGUCCAUUCAUGCAAAGAUUGUCGCUAAGCUCCACAGCAAGAUACACUGCGUAUUUCACUCCCUUGGUGAGGUUGUUGGCAUUGUACUUUCCGUCAAUUUGUAGCCAGCAUACUGUGAUCAGUUCAGCAACCUCCAUAGGCUGGCAGCUGUGUGUACAAAAGUCCGAAAAACCAAAUAUUAUGUAAAAAUUAUCUCAAAUCUUUGGUCUCGAAAAAUGGAAGUCAAUGGGCUGUUUGGGUUAGCUGAAAAGAAGGGACUUUUUACUUAAAUUAAAAAAGGGGAGUAGAAGUGAGAAGUAAAUAAGUUAAUAAAGAGUUUGGAAAAGAAGUAGAAGUUGUGAGAGAAAAUCUAGUGUGCCUGUUUGUUUAGCAGAAGCAGGGGCUUCUGCUUCUGACUUCUGCUUCUUGACCCGUUUGUGUAAAGAAGUAGAAGCACUUUUAAGAAGCUGAGAAUGCUAGCUUCUCUCUCACAGCUUCUACUUUUUUUCCAAACACUUUAUUCACUUAUUUACUUCUCACUUCUAAUUCACUUCUUUAUUUUAAACAAAGAAGCACUUCUUUUAAGCUUAGCCAAACGGCCCCAGUAUCUUCAGUUUCUUAAAAGUGCUUUUACUUAUUUACACAAACAGCUCAAGAAAAGCAGAAGCCAGAAGCAACUUCUGUCUCGUCAUUAAAUUUGUAGUACAAAAACACCAAAAGCUUUCCAACAUGUGCUAUACAUACCUGAUUGGGUAUGUCUUAGAAACCCAUUUCCAGUAGCGGCUGUCUGAACCCCAAACUAUUGAGAGUUCCUUUGCACUGAUAACCGCAGCGAAGGACUGGACCAAUUAAUCAACAUUAACGGAGAUAUUUCCGAAUCAAAAUAUAUCGUACAAAAUUUAUAUGACUAAUUAGACUAUAAUUAAGAACAAGUCACACGCAGGCAUACUGGUGUGGGCAUGGUGCAUGACACUAAUACUAUUGCAGAAUUAUAAUUUCAUAAUUACCUAAAUAAAAAAAUAGUGAAAAUUAACAACCAAAAUAACUUACACUCUUGUCUUUCGCAGCCUGGACACCUUGAGUCCACAAUGACACGAUGUCAUCACGCACACGCUGCACUUGAGCCAUCCUCCUUGCUAGUUGAGAAUAAGAAGUUCUUAUGUAAUUCUUGUGCUGUCGAUGCCAAUCCUCACUUCCUUGAGCUCUAUUUAUAGCGUUGCGUACGGUCCUAUUUGUGCACUUAUUGAUAGUUACACUUAAACUUAUCUACGGUAGUCGGAUGCUCUGUCCCGUUAUUCUUUCUUUUUAUAAAAUAAGUGGAGCUUGGAUAAGAGAUUCAUCAAUUAUUUAUGCCAUUUGUGCGGUACAAGCCUCACUGGAAUCUGGUAACUUUCGGUUUUGAUUGAAAUACUCAUAUAACGACGAAAUCGUGGAAGCAUCCGACUAUGAGAAAAGAAAUACAGUGACAGGAGUACUUCUGUCAGAUCUAGGAGCCUAGGACAUUACUCAGCUCGAUUAACUCUGAAAUUUAAUAUUGGCACAGAUGAACCAAACCACGAAACAUUGAGCUUCUCAGUAAUUGUUGAACCAGAAUCUGGAAACUGAAGUAGAAUAUUCGUCACAAGAUCUUCCUGUAUAAAUAAACUUAUAAUUACUUUCAAGGCUGUUACAUUUGGUAAUGAGUAAUGCUACGUACACAGAAACGGAUACAGAUUUGUGUACAGAAUGACGUGGAUUCCACCGACUUUCUCACUUCAUUUAUCAUUCAUACUCUGUCGUUGUUUUCUUUUCUUUUUUCAAUACAUCUCCGCUUCUUUUAGUUCUGUCUUCUACUUUUGAGUCUUUAUAGUAUUUUGUUAUAUAGGCAGUUUAUAUGUUUAAUCGAUUUUUGAUAAUUUUAUUAUAUAAACAAAUAUAUUUUUUUUACAUUUUGAUAUCUUUCUUUACUUCUAUUAUUCAAUAUAUUUAUCAUAUAUGUAUUAUUAUCUUGAAAUUUGACAUUUUCUUCCAUAAUUUAUUUACUGUAUUUUGUAGUGGAUUGAUCUAUUUUAUAUUCCAAAACUCUUAAAUAUCUAUUUUAUCAUUCAUAUUACCAACAUAUUUAACAUAUUCGUUAUACAUGAAAUAUUUUUGUGCGAUUAUAAUAUCUUAAAUGGCAUUUACUACUUUUAAAUUAAGAUAAUGAAUAUUCUAAAUUUUAAAACUUUAAACGUUAUUUAGAAUUUUAUAUUCAGCGAGCACUUUUGUUAUACAUGUAGUUGUGAUUUUUAAACAUUUUUUGUUCAAAUAAAAUUUUGACAACUUUUAAUUUAAAAUAUAUAUUUAUAUUUAUUUUGUAGAAGUUUCUUUCUCUUAAUUAGCUGAUAUAUUUAUACGAAACUUUUUUAUUUUAUAUUCCAAAACAAUCAAAUAUAUAUUUUAUUUUUAGAAUAGAAAAUAAACAAGUCCUCUACAGAAGUACAAUAAAUAAAUUAUUAUCUAAUAGAAGGACAAAUAUAUCAAAUUAUAAAAUUAUAAAGAUAAUAAUAAAAAAUGAAUUAGAUAAUACAAGUAAAACAAAUAUAUCAAUGUAUAAUAUAAAUAUAUUUGUAUAAAGAAUAAAAUGGUAAAAAACGAUUAAAGCAGAGGGUGUGUAUAAUAAAAAUAGCAGCAUAUAAAGACUCCAAGGCAAUAGAAAAAAAAUAAAGCAGAGGGUGGAAAGAAAAAAUCAAAGCCGAGGGAUGAAGAGUGAAUAAAGAUAAUAAAUGAAAAGAGAAUGAUAUUGGAAUCCACGUCAUUCUGACUCUGUACACAAUUCUGUAUCAGUUUCGGUGGACCUAGCAUUAUUCUUUCGUAAUAUAUGUUGGGUUUGUCUGUGCCCAUGGGUACAUGCUAAGCACGAAAUUUUAUAAGUUUGGUGAAUUUUAAUUGGUGUGGUUGGUGAAUUUGCAAGGGGUCCACCAUUAUAAAGAAAUAAGAGCCAAUCAAAAUCACUCAAACUUAAGAAUUUUAGUGCUUAGUGUGUGCCCCUAGGCACACACUAGAAAAACCGAUAUAUGUUUGUGAAUAUAUAAUGAAGUAGUAGCCAACACUACAAAAAACUGUCCUGUUUACGACGGAAAUUAAGCCUGAAAUCUGUCAUAAUUCCGAAGUUAUGACAGAAAAAUUCCGCCGUUUUUUAUCGAUUAGUAAGUUUAAAACCAUUCACAAAUUUCGGUAUACUUUGCAAGUUACAUAAGGCGUCACAAGUUUCACUAGAUGGCCUCCAUAAUUUCACUAUUAUAAUGGCAAACUUUACGACGCACAAUUCAUCGUAAGAUAGCUUUUUAUGACAGAAUUUUCAUUGUAAGUUGCGUAUUAUUCUAUUGGCAGAUGGGACCCACUUAUAUGAAAUUUACGACGAAAAUUUGAAUUUGUGACCAAUUUUUGAACUUUUGACUCGAGCAAAAAGACGGAAAAAAUCCGUCGUAAUUGGACCAUUUACGACGGAUUCAGUGUUAAAAAUCCGUCAUAAAUGGGUUUAUUUGUUGCAGUGAAUAUAUAGUUGCCCAUAAGGAGACUGAUGAAAAAGGAGUGGUACAUUUAGGUCCAAGAUUUAUAUUCUUGAUUGCUAGAAAUAAUUCGGAUGCUAUUUUAUUUUUAAUGAGUUAAGGUGGUGACCGAUAAAAUUUAAAUUCAAAUACUUUGGGACGUGGAAUAGUACUUUUUUUUUUUUUUAUUAAAAGUUAAUCCUUAUUAAAUCAUCAAAUGUUAGACAAUAGUGUCUCCGACAAGCAUAAUGGAGGAGACGAAAUAACAAUGAAGCUACUAAGCUUAUAAGAAUUUUAGCCAUCUAAUUAUCUGCUGCCUUAUUUGAAGGAUUUCUAACAUAUCUGGGAGUCACUUUCUAUAAUAUAUUCAGCUAUUAGUUCAGCAACCUCCAGAGCCUGGGAGCUGUGUGUACAAAAGUCCCAAAAACCAAAUAUUAUGUAAAACUAGUUGAGAAGCCGCGUUGCGGCGGCCUAUAAAAAUUAUAUUAAUGGCUCAAUAUUAAUAUUUGUAAAAUAAAAUAAUUUUGUGUUUGUCUAUAAAAAGUAUAUUAAUGUUUCAAAAUUAAUAUUUGUAGGAUAAAAUAAAUUUUAUAUUAUAAAAAUCUUGAUGUAAUACCAAUACUAAUAGAUAAAAUUGCAAAAUUGGACUAUAAUUCAUGAUGAAAAAAUGAAAAUAAAUUUAUACACGUAAUUAACAAUUUAAAACACGGCGAAUAUUAAUUUUAUUUGUGUUUUUUUAAAAGUAAUCAUGUUCUUACAUUGUCACUUUACUCCAAUUUUUUUGGAUUGAUUGUGCACAAACACGUCUAACUUAAAUCUGUGAGAUAGCGGUGUAUAACUACCCUUGCUUGUAACAAACUUUAAAUUUUAAUACUGUAUAAACAGUCUUACUUAAAAGUUGCUUGAAUAGAGCAAACAGAUAAUGCAUGAAUAAUUUUUUUUCAAUGUAUACAAAAUAAAUCAUAUAAAAAUUAACAACAUAUUCGAAGAACAAAAACAAACGUUAUAAAAUAAUAACCAACAAACAUACAUCACUAACAGUUAAUUUAUUGAUAUCAUCCAUCAAUAUCAUGUCAAGACUAUAUUCUUUUCCCGUGUUUUGAUUUGUCGACUCCAACAUAGCGGUCUAUAACUACCUUUGCUUACAACAACCUUUAUUUUUUUAAUACUGUAUAAACAGCCUUCACUUAUCGUUGCUGAAGAACGGCACUACCGAGUUAGAAAUCGAGCAAGAGAAUUAUCACCAAAGAGAGGUAAGGUUGUGGUAUUGAGAGAAAGAAUGUUGUGUUUAGAUGAUCUAAAACCCUACAAUCUAUAGGGGAUUUAUAGGUGCAGAGAGACCUGUGUGCUACUCUUUUCCAUAAUUAAAUAAUAUGAAACAAAAUCAGAUUAAAACUUUCAAGCUACUGUAUUCCAUAAAUAAUCUGAAACAAAAUUAGAUUCUGAAACUUGCUUCCAAUAUACCCGAAACUACUAAUCUGAAACAAAAUCAGAUUAAAACUUUCAAGCUACUAUAUUCCAUAAAUAAUCUGAAACAAAAUCAGAUUCUGAAACUUGCUUCUAAUAUACCCAAAACUAAAAAAGGUAGUUCUAGUUUUUGAUAUUUUUCAUCCAAAAAUUCCAGAAAAUUAGAAAAAUAGAACGGAGCGAUGUGAGAGACGCCACCUACACGCCCCUCGCUUCUCCUUUAUAUAAGUAUAUUGAUUUAUCUCAAAUCUUUGGUCUCGAUAAAUGGAAUUCAAUGUCCAGUCAUUAAAUUCCAACAUGUGCUAUAUAUACAGACCUGAUUGGGUAUUUCUUAGAAACCCAUUUCCAGUCAUAACCGCAGCGCACCUUACGCUCUUGUCUUUCACAGCCUGGACACCUUGAGUCCACAAUGAUAAGAUGUCAUCACGCUACACUUGAGCCAUCUUCUUGCUAGUUGGGAAUAAGAAGUUCUUGUGCAAUUCUUGUGCUGUCGAUGCCAAUACUCACUUCCUUGAGCUGUAUUUAUAGGGUUUCGGACGGUCCUAUUUGUCCACUUAUUGAUAGGUACACUUAUCCUUAUCUGCAUGUGGUAGGAGGAUGCUCUGUCUCAUUAUUCUUUCUUGUUAUUAAAUAAGUGGAGCUUGGACAUUACUCAACUCGAUCAACUCUGAAAUUUGAUAUUGGCACAGAUGAACAACCACGAAACAUUGAGCUUCUCAGUAAUUGUUGAACCAGAAUUUUCUGGAAACUGAACUAGAAAAUUCGCCACAAGAUCUUCCUGUAUAAAUAAACUUAUAAUUACUUUCAAGUUUCAAGGCUGCUAAUUAAAUUUCAUAAUAUAUGUUUGUGAAUAAAUUAUAUUGAAUUAGUAGCCAAGGAGAAGUUUAAUUGAUCAUGGGGUGAAAUGGGGUCUGGGUACAUCCACUAAUUUCAAAUAACGGCUACAAUGAGCCUACAACUUUAGACAAGACUACAAUGGAAGAAUGAAAUCUGUUACAAACGGAAUUGCAUGUGUCAUUUUUCACGGAUUUGGUACUUUUUUUUUGAGAAAUUCACGGAUUUAGUACUUGAAAUCCGUCAAAAAAGAAGGAUGUAUAGUAGCGCAGCCGCAGAACUAUUCAUGCAACUACAAUUAGAGAACACCGAUUCUACAAGUCUAUCACUCUUCUCGAUUACUAGGUAUAUAGAGUUGUGUAGUUAACAUAACUGCUGUAUGAAAUUUAACACCCUCCCUUGAUCGGGUCGAAAAGAAUUCCGUGCAAGAUAAAUUUUAAAAAAGGCGAUAUAAUUCUAACGUCAUUGAAAAUACUUUUGCAGACACUCAUUAGAGGAAAUUAAAUUUCAACGGUUUUUGGGUACUUGUAGUAGAAUUAGAUGUACAGUACAUGUUUUCUCGUAAGAAUUUGUCCUGCAAACAGUCCCUUUUCACCGUUAUUUCUAUAUGGUUUAUUAACAAGUGAAAUUUUUCAGUGGACUAUGUAUGGAAUAUCAAGAUUUGGUUAUUUUUACAUAAUUUUUUUAUUUAAAAAUAAUUAUUAUUAUACUAAUAUGAAAGGACUUCUAUAUUGAUAUAAUGAUUAUCCCACCAACAUAAUUACAUUGUCAACAAAAAUAUCCACUUUAAAUUUUAAAACGCAAACAAUUUAAAUUAUGAAACAACACCCUUAUUUGGUUAUCACAGUAUUUUUUUAUUUGAUGAUAAUUAUUAUUAUACCUUUAUGAAAAUAUUUUCAUAUUGAUGAGGAUUUUUUAAUAUAAUGAUUAUCCCACUAACAGAUUACAUUGUUAACAAAAUCAGUCCUUUAUAAUUUAAACGUUAAACAAUUUUAUUUAUGAAAUAACUUUAUAAAAUUUCUAUCAUGUUUCACAAUUCAAUAAAAUAGGGAGUCUAUAUUAAUAUUAAUAAACCAAAAUUUGGUUAACAUAAUUUUUUUAUGAAUAACAAAAUAACUAUUAUUAUACUAUUAUUAUUAUAAUAGUAUCAGUAGACUAGUUUAAAAAAAAAAAAAGUAUGAGUAGACUUUAUAUAUUGACCAAAAUUUUGGUAUGUAACGAUUAGGACACCGACAUAAUUACAUAAUUAUCUACAAAACUAUUUAUCUUAAUUUUUUAAACUUAAAUAGUUCAAUUAACGAAACAAAUCUAAUUUAGUUAUUGACAUAUAUAUAUAUAUAUAUAUAUAUAUUAUUUAAUAUUAAUAAUUAUUAUAUUACUAUGAAAAGUCUUUCAUAUUGAUCACAAUUUUAUAAUAUUUUUGAUUUAAUAAUAAUAAAUAUUAUACUAUAAAAAAAACUUCCAUGUUGAUUAGAAGUUUAUAAUGUAAUAAUUAUACUACAACAGGUUGCAUUACCUAUAAAAAUAUUAGUCUUAAUUUUUAAAACUCAAACAAUUUAAUUAAUGAAAUGACUCGAAUUUAAUUAUCAUGAUAUAAUAAUUAUAUAAUAUUACUAUGCAAAUAUUUUCAUAUUGAUCGGUAUUUUAUAAUGCAACAAUUAUCUCAACAACAGAAUCACAUUGCCAACAAAUCUAUUUAUUUUAAUUUUUUAAAACUCAAACAACUUAAUUUAUGAAAAAACUUUAUAGAAUUCUUAUGACGUGUCAUAAUAAAAAUGAAUAAAGAGUCCAUAUUAUAUUAUAAACCAAAUUUAUAUUAAUAUAAAAUUUAAUUCAACACUUGUCUUUCGAAAUAUUGCAAUAAAGACCAAAAAAGUUGGGGUAAUAAUGCGAUGACUCCGUGGAGAAAAAAAAGGCACUAAACAAUUGUCCAUGUUAUAGAUUUAUAGCCAUACAAUGCAAGGACAGAAAAUCACAACAUUGCUAAAAAAAAGAAGAGAACAAAUUACUUUUGAAUUAGAUUUAUUUAGCUUAAACCCUCUCUUACAAUUAUAUAUUAAUUUGUCAAAUUCUAAAGGAACUCUAAUUAAUUAAUAUUACACACACGUCUAAAAUAACUAUGAAUUAAAAAAAUUUAAAUUAUACUACAGACUGAAUACCUACAAACCACCUUAUAAUAUACGUUGGUUCUGAAUAUAUAUUUCAACUCUUUAGAAAUCAUAAAACAACAUAAUGAUUUGUUAAAAUAAAACACAUAAUUCUGAAUUAAAUUCAUAUCAUAACUGUAUGCGAGAAUUAUUUUUAGAAAAAAAAUAAUUUAAAAUAUGAUCAAAUGUUCAUCACAGAAAAUUAUAUAUAUAAAGAUUAAUAGUUUAAAUAUGUAUAUUAAAAUCAUUAUAUUUCUAAUAAAUUUCAAAAUUUUAAUUUUUGUAUAAUUUUCACCAGUGCAUAUUUUUCUAGCAGGAUGGAUCCAUUUUAUUUUCAUGUUGUUAGGGAAUAUAAAGUGAAUGUUGAUUAAUUCAUUUGAAUAGUCAUGUGGUAAUAUUGGUAAAGUGUGAAGAAAUUGUUUUUGGCAAGAAACUGUUCGAUAGAAUGCCUAUAACAUGUGUUGUUUGGCCGAGUAAAAAUUACGGGCCUGUAAAAGCACUGUAUUUGAAGGAGGCGCUAAAUGUUUUUAUUGAUAGGAAAAGAAGUGGGAUGAGGUCUAAUCAAGUUGGAAGAACUCCUGGAGUAGAAGCAGUGGAGUGUGGAAAACGUUUAUAGUGAAAUUUUUAGAAAAUAUAAAGGGACUGUUUGGGUGACUUUAAAAUUAAAUGUUUUUUGUUUAAAGUAGAGAAGUGAAGUAGAAGUUAGAAGUAAAUUAAGAGUUAUGAGUGUUUGAAAAAUAAGUAGAAGUCAGCUUCGAUUCUUGACUUUUUACUUUUUACGUAAACUGUACGAAUAAGUGCUUCUAAUUUAUAUCCCGAGCCGGACUUAAAAGUUAUAGCCAAACACCCCAAUAUAACGACGUCUUUGCUUCAAAAUCGUAUUUUUGUGAUACUUUCUGAUAACCCUUUCAUUCAUCUAGUACUUCUAUAUGUUCCAGAUUCUCUCACUGUCACUGUACUGUUGUAAUUUUAUUGAUGAUUUUUUCUAGACAUAUUUAUUUAAUAUUCAUUUCCAUUUUUGUUUGGUGAUUUUUUAUUUUUACAAUUUGGGUCAUGACAAGUUCGAGAUUCUAGGGUCUAAUGCAUUGGAUGUUCAUCAUCUUUAAUAAAAUCCGUUCUCAAAGUCCCAGGUACUUGUUUAUGGCGUAUCACUUACUCUCUCCGUCCCAAUCAAUUCUAUACAGUUUCCUUUUUGGGAUGUCCCAUCAUUUCUAUACAUUCCCAAAAUAGCAACUUUUUAUAAUAUAAAACAUUAUUACACCCACUACAUUCUCCCACUAUCUCCAUUAUAUAAUAAUAAAAACACUAUUACACCCACUACUUUACUCCACUAUCUCAAAUCUAUUAUUAAAAAAUAUAUGGGUCCCACCACUUUACCAACUUUCCAUAUAACUCUACUCAUUUCUUACACUUUUUCUUGGUCUCCGUGUCCGAUCCCAAUGUAUAUAAUUCAUUGGGACGGAGGGAGUAUAUAUUUAAACACCAACAUAUUGGCGAUUAUUUCACACAUUCCACAUCAGCCAAACCAGAUAGGUGAUGUUGGCAAUUGGAAAUUAUUUAGUUUAUCAGAUGCAUGUUUACCAGACUGGGGCAAUGACAGCACCAAUGACAGUAAGGCCAGUCUUCCAGGUGGUUCCAUCACAUCCAUUCAUCGAGAACUUGACAGUAUUCUCACAGCCGCAUGCUGAGUUGAUGAAUUCACCAACCUUAAGUCCCACCAAUGUAUUCUUUGGCUUGGUCUCCAAAUCUUCCUUGUGCUCUUCAGUAGUGCGGUUGGGACGAGUAAGCUUAAGGGUCACUGGACCGUUCAUGCAAAGAUUGUCGCUAAGCUCCACAACAAAAUACACUCCGUAUUUCACUCCCUUUUUCAGGUUGCUGGUAUCGUACUCUCCGUCAAUUUGGAGCCAGCAUACUGUAAUUAGUUUAGCAACCUCCAGAGCCUCGCAGCUGUGUGUACAAAAGUCCCAAAAACCAAAUAUUACGUAAAAAUUUAUCUCAAAUCUUUGGUCUCGAAAAAUGAAAGUCAAUGUCCAGUCAUUAAAUUCUGUAGUAUAAAAACACCUACGCGUUCCAACAUGUGCUAUAUAUACAUACCUGAUUGGGUAGGUCUUAGAAACCCAUUUCCAGUAGCGGCUGUCUGAACCCCAGACUAUUGAGAGUUCCUUUGCGGUGAUAACCGCAGCGCAGGACUAAAACAUUUAAUUAACAACGGAGAUAUUUCAGAAUUAAAUUAUAUCAUACAAAAUUUAUAUGGCUAAUUAGACUAUAAGAACAAGUCACACGCAUGACAAUAAUACUAUUGCAGAACUAUAAUUUCAGUAGCUUCCAUAAAAAGGUACCGAAUAUUAACAGCCAAAACAACUUACACUCUUGUCUUUCACAGCCUGGACACCUUGAGUCCACAACGACACGAUGUCAUCACGCUGCAAUUGAGCCAUCUUCCUUGCUAGUUGAGAAUAAGCAGUACUUGUGUAAUUCUUGUGCUGUCGAUGCCAAUCCUCACAGCUUCCUUGAGCUCUAUUUACAGCGUUGAGUACGGUCCUAUUUGUGCACUUAUUGAUAGUUAUACUUAACCUUAUCUACGGUAGUAGGAUGCUCUGUCCUGUUAUUCUUUCUUUUUAUUAAAUAAGUGGAGCUUGGAUAAGAGAUUCAUCAAUUAUUUAUGCCAUUUGUGCGGUAGAAGCCUCACUGGAAUCUGGUAACUUUCGGUUUUGAUUGAAAUACUCAUAUAACGAUGAAAUUGUGGAAGCAUCCUACUAUGAAAAAAGAAAUACAUACAGUGACAGGAGUACUUCUGUCAGAUCUCGGACAUUGCUCAACUCGAUUAACUCUAAAAUUUAAUAUUGGCACACAUGAACCAAACCACAAAAAACUGAGCCUCUGAUGAAUCGUUGAACCAGAAUAUUCUUGAAACUGAACUAGAAAAUUCGUCACAAGAUCUGCCUGUAUAAAUAAACUUAUAAUUACUUUCAAGGCUGUUAAAUUUCAUAAUAUAUGUUUGUGAAAAAAUAUUCUAAAUCCAGAAAAUUGACUAGCACAGGCUAUUUCCGACCAUUAUUGGUAACCUUUUUGCCAAGAAAACCGACCAAAUUAAGUUAUUUCUGACUAAACACAUAAUUUAAGAAAUGAACCACAUUUCCGACCGCUAGUGUAUGAAAUCGGUCGGUAAUGAUUUCACGGUCGAAAAUGAAUUUUUAGUUUGUUGGUUUUAAAACAGAGAAUCCCCAAAUGAACCCUGAAAUACCUUCCGACUGACUCAUUUCCAACCAACUCAGUUGGUCGGUUUUAUAAUAGGGGCUCCCCAAUUGAACCCUGAAUUUCGUUCAGACCUUAUCAUUUCCGACCAACUUUAUUGGUUGGUUUUAAAACAAGCCCCCUGAAUGAACCCUGAAUUUAUUUAUGGCAACCUCCAGUCACUUUUAGGUCUAUUCACAUGUAUGCCAAGUUCUAAGAAGAUUUUAAAACAUUACCGACUAAAGAUAGCGGUCGGUCGUCGGUCGGUUAUAAAUAUCAUUUCCGACCGAUCUGUUAUUUACAACCAGGUUUUAAAGGACCAACACAAUCGGUCGGUCGGUGGUCGGUUACGAGGUGAAAACCGACCAACUCUCUUUAUUUUCGGUCGGCGGUCGGAAAUGCCCGUUUUUCUUGUAGUUAUAUCAACUUCCAUCGGAACACAAUAUCUUACACCUUUAAGUCAUAAAUCACUGUUUUAAACUUUCCAAACAGCUUCCAAGUAUCAUAUUAAGAUUAUCCGAUGGACCUACUCGAAACAGUAUAAAACAUAUACAAACGAACACCACCAGAGCAAGGGUGUAGCCAAAAAGCUCAGAAAUUGCUCUAAAAACUUUACAACAUCUCGUACAAGGGAGUAACUAAACAAAAGGUGAUUAAAACACUGUGCUUAAAGUGUCAACGAAACAAAGAUUGUGUACACUUGAAUGAAAUAAAAUGAAAAAAAAGAAUGAAAUGGAAAAUUGUAAAUAAAUUUAAUGGAAAAUGAACAAGUUACGAGUAGAGUUACGAAAAUCGGACCUACUCAUUUAACCUACCGAUUUAGGAUUAUCAGCAAUCUGCGAUUAAUCGGAAGGAUUAAUUGGAGUGAAAACUAGAUAUAUUUUAAUAUUAAAUAAUAAUAAAUAUUUUGUUAUUAUUAUAUUAGUUAUUUAUCAACAAAUAUAUAUUUACUAUAUCAUAAAUUCUACAGUUGUUCAUAUUUAUAGUAAUAUAAUAGUUAAUUUUAAUAAAUUUUAUAUAUACUUUGAUUAAGAAAAUUUUAUAAGGAUUAAUCAGGUUUAAAAAAUCAAAUUAGUCGCCUACCUUGGGGGAUUGAUCGUUAAGUCAAGGGAUUUUUAGAACAAUGGUUAUGAGACAAUAGUGACUAAACACGAAUGAGCCUAAAUUUAGUGUGCUCUUAGACUUUGUUCACUUGGAUGGAAUGAAAUGAUGAGAAAAUGAAAUGAAAUUUGUAUUAUAUUUUGGGGAGGUUGGAGUAAAUGUUUAUAAUUUUCAUUCAUUCAAUCAUUUACACACCAUUCUACACCAUUUGAGUUAAAAAAUCUAACCACAUAUUUUGAAAGGAAUGCUGAUUCCAUUUCUUCUAUAUUUUCCCAACAAUCCCCGUCAUGCGAAAUUCAGAUUCUCAACCUCACUCACUAUUGUCUCAUACAUUCUCCUUUCUGUUUUUGUAGUUUUUCAUUCCAAGUGAACGCAACUUUAGUGUGCUUAAUUAAACAAACAUCAGCACAAAACAAUAUACAGUUCCUCAUUAUGUUUAACUAAUCUUUUAGUAAGACCUUUAAGUUAAAAGUGCUAAAGUAACAGUAGAGACCUUGAAGCAAUUACGAGCUAAACGUUAUAAUAGCCUGAACACUCCGUACUUUAACUUUUUAUAUAUUAAAACACCAAGAUAUUGGCGAUUAUUUCACACAUUCCAUAUCAGCCACACGUACCAGACAGGUAAUGUUGGCAAUUAAUUGGAAAUUAUUUAGUACAUGAUGAUUGUGAGCCACUACAAGAAAAACAGACUCAGACAACACCUUUCAGACAACACAACGAAAAAAAACCGUUGCGAAAAAAGAACACACAACGGUUGCUUUUUUGACCUCGACUAUCCAUUGUCUAAACCAGGACUCAUACUACGGUUUUUAAAAGCGUUGUUAAAAAAUAUGUAAAAAAGUUUGUUUGACACAACAGUUUAUAAAGACCAUUGUUUUUCAGAAAUUCACACAAUUGUCUAUAAAACUGUUGUUAAAUAUUAUACAACGGGUUUCCAAAACCAUUGUUAUUUGCAAAGUCAGACAAUGUUGUCAAGUAACCGUUGUAAUUAAUAAACAACGGUUGGGGAAACAGUUGUGUUUGUACAUAUUACACAAUAUUCCACUAAACCGUUGUUAAAGAAUGCACAACGAUUUUAAUAAUGAGUUGUUGUAUUCAAAUUCACACAACCGUUUUUGGUAGCAUUGUUCUUUAAACCUCGCACAACAGUUUGGCUUAAUUAUAUGUAUUGUAUUGUUGUAUCAUUUUAACUCAUACAACAGAUGAGUAUAUAGAAACCGUUGUCUAUUAGAGACACUAAAAGACAAAAAUUACCUUUUUAUAAUAAGACAAAAUUUACAAUUGACUAUUUUUGUUAAAAAAACAUAUAAAACAAACAUAAAAAAAAUUAAUUUUUUUUAUACAUGACUAAUAUUGGUAGUUCUUAACAUCCGUACGGUUAGAUCAUCAAAAAAAAUAUUUAUAAAUUAUUACGGAACUAAUCUUAUAGAUAACAAAAUUUCUAACCAGUGCUUCCUAAAUUGUAAACAUAAAACACAUACUAAGAGGGGUGUAUUGGAUUGGGAUUUUAAAGAUUUUUUUGCAUUCAUGAAAUCCGAGGGUAUUCGAUUGGGAUUGUUUGAAAUCCAUUAAAAUCUUGAGGUAUUCAAUUGGGAUUUUAAAUUAUGCUUUAAAAUCCGAUGGUAUUCAAUUGGGAUUGUUUAAAAUCCAUUAAAAUCUGAUGGUAUUCAAAUGCUGAUGGAUUUUUUUUCAUUUCAUAAAAUGAUGGAUUUUGUGGCAUUCUUCAGUGUAUUUUAAGUUUUUUGAAAUCCCACCAAAUUCAAUGGGAUUUUGAAGCAUUGUACCUAAAUCCUAUCAACUCUGCGACAUUUCAUCAAGAAUCCGCACAAAAUCAAAAUCUCAUACAAUCCAUUAAAAUCCAUAGACUAAAAACAAUGCAUUAAAAUCCCAAUCGAAUACACCCCCGUAAUACUCACGUCCGAACUACAAAAUUAUCUUCUUGUUACAAAUGAACAAUACAAAUUUGCAUAUAUGUUUAAUACAAAUAUAAUUUUUAGAUAAAAAACAUAAAAAUAAGGAUUUUUCAAGGAUAAGAGAAUCUUUAACUCUUAAAAAAAAUAAUUUAUUAGACAACUGUUUUUUUCCAAUAAAUUGUUGUUUACACUACUUACAUACAACGAGUUUUGUUGAAAACGUUGUUUGAGCUUAUUUUGGACAAUAAUUUCUCUUACAAAAAUUCUCAUGGGACAAUAACCAUUGUCUAUUUACAAGAAAAUGUGGCACCACCUGAUUGGUGGAAAAUAUUUCACCUGGAUUGCUUACUUGGCAAAAUGUCACCAAUUGAUUGACUUCACCUGGAUCACUUAGUUGGCAUAAUAAGAGCCCUUGACUUUCUGAAGGUGUCACACAACGGUUUUUUAAGAAAACUGUUGUAUAAUAUCUAAUUCUUAAAUUUUUUAAUUUUAUAAUGACUUUGAAAUUGAUUUUUAAAAUUUUUAAAUUUGAAUAAUAAAAUAAUAUGACAGUCAAAAUUUAAUAAAUUUUAUCAUUUAAAAUUUGACCAUGGCUAUUAUAAACUCUUAGAUCAACCUGAACUAGGUCUAUCAUAAUCAAACAUGAUUACGCUCGAGAGCGCCCAAUGAGCGCCUUGGGAGCGCCCUAUAAGCGCCCCAGGAAAAAUUUUCAUUAACCAGCUCUACGCCUCUACCUCUCUAGAGAAACACAUUCUCUGUCUCUUCUCUCUCAAACAAACUCUCUCAUUUUCUUCACUGUGGAACAAAUUCCAGAUCUUUCUUCUCAGUCUCUUCGUCUCGUCGGCUGGGUCCGGAGCGCCCGAGAAGCGCCCUGGGAGCGCCCCAGGAGCGCCAAGUGCGCCCGAGGUGCGCUUGAGGACCUCACCAGCGUCGACCUGGGCACCAAGGAUGCCCUAAAUCGACCUGGGUGAGGUCGAAAAAUGACUUGGGCGUCAAAAAACACCCAACGCCCGAGAGCGCCAGAGAAGCGCCCUGGGAGCGUCCUAUGAGCGCCCCAGGAGCGCCAAUAGCGCCCGAGGUGCGCCUGAGGACCUCACCAGCGUCGACCUGGGCACCAAGGAUGCCCUAAAUCGACCUGGGUGAGUUCGAAAACUGACUUGGGCGUCAAAAAACACCCAACGCCCGAGAGCGCCCGAGAAGCGCCCUGGGAGCGUCCUAUGAGCGCCCCAGGAGCGCCAAUAGCGCCCGAGGUGCGCCUGAGGACCUCACCAGCGUCGACCUGGGCACCAAGGAUGCCCUAAAUCGACCUGGGUGAAGGGCAACAUACAUACUAAGUAAGAGAUAAGGGAGAGAGACAAAUAGAGAGAGAGCGACUGAGAGAUAGUAACAGUCAGAGGGAGGGACAGAGUGAGAGAGGGAGACACAUAGAGAGAUCGGGAAAUAUAUUCUAAGAGAGUGGAGAUGGAGGGAAGGAGGGAGAGAGAGAUUUUUAGGACAUUCACUGAGAAAGCAAUGUCUAAAAUGUGAGUAUUAAUUUAUGAUGGGUCCUCAUUAAUGUCUGGGCUAAUACAUUUUGCCUUUAGAAAGCCUUUCCCCUUGCUGAUUUAUCUUUAUUUGUAUAACCCUGCAGUCAUAAUCUUUAUUUUGGUGCGCAUUAUUAAUUUUGGAGUUGCUUUCUGCGCUGACAUUUUUAUGAUUGCAGUCAGAAACUCAAUUUUCCUACUAGAGCUAUGUUCUGUUUCAUGACACAAAAUAGCUUACAAUUAGUGUAUGAGGGCCUUCGAUUUGGGUCCUUCGAUUUGCAGUCUAGAGGGCCUGGUUGGCAAGUUGAGACUGGUAGAAUGGACAACUUAACUACUAGCAAAACUACAACAAACAAUAACAUUCCACCCCAACUUCCGAUUAUAUCAGCACACGUAUAUGCCUAUGUAUUAUUUUACCAUAAUGGCGAGUUCUCUCGAUAUUGCUUGAUUAAUUUGCAUAACUUGUCUUUGCUGCAGGUAUUACAAUCUCGCACAUGCAGUGAAUGAAAGAGUUUUAAGGCAGCCCUCAAUGCUACAAGCUGGAAUCUUGAGAGAUUAUCAUAUUGUAUGUUCCAUUUUUCUGAGAGACUGAUCUAAAUAAAACUUAUUCUUUGGUUUAUUGUCUUAUGUCAUUGCGAGUAGCUCUUUCUUGUUAACAUAGCAACAAGUAGAUCCUUGCCAGUCAUGUGUAGUAUUAUGGAACAUUUGAUUUUUGAUUUGUUGAUGCAGAUAAGGACAACUACGUCAACUACCACAAGAGAUUAAUUGAUUUAGUAAAUAUCAGACGGUUAUGAGGACGACAACACCAUGGGUAGUGCCCAGCCAGCUUAUACUUCAAUGAGAAAGUAUGUAAGGUACUAUAGAGACUUUGUGAUUGGGCUUAACAAAUCCUUGGUGGAUGAUUCCAGUAUUGAGAUAUGCAUGCUUGUACAAGGUUAUUUGUAGCCAUUUGAAAUGUUAUUAAUUUAGUUUGUACAAAUUAUUUUAAUCUUUUGUUAGGCAAAGAUUUGACUUUCAGUUACUUGUAUAAAUUGUAUAAGACAAUAGUUUGAUUUCUAAAGUUUUUACCAUCUCAACAAUUGUACAAAUAAAGUUCACACAACUGUUGACUCUAUUAAUGCAAGAAAACACAUUAUUUUAUCGAAAUUGUUGUGGGGAGGGAAGAAAGACAAUACUUUGUCUCAAGGGAACUAUUGAAUAACAAAUUGUUUUAAAACAUUCUUUUAUAACUAAACCGUUGAAUGGAGUAAUUUCAAACAAUAUUUUUUUUUUUGGUAUUAUUGACUAUAGGAAAGAAGGACAAUCUUUCGUCUCAGGGGAACUAUUGUCUGAAACAUAUCAGACAUGUGGUAUGCAUUUAAGAAACGCAUGAAUAACACAAGGUCUUACAACACUCUGUUACAUCAAAACAGUUGUGUAUACCAACCUUCCAACAACAUUUUCUCGUAUUUGCGUUGUUGUCUUGCAGUAAGACAGACAACGAUUGCGUACCGUUGUCUCAUCCCAGUAUCAGACGGCAUCUCAAUACUCAACGGUAUUUGAGGGUUUCAGACAACGGGUAAUUUCCGUUGUCUGAGAUUCAUGUUUAGCAGUUAACUGGGGCAAUGACAGCACCAACGACAGUAAGGCCCGUCUUCCAGGUGGUUCCAUCACAUCCAUUCAUCGAGAACUUGACAGUAUUCUCACAGCCACAGGCGCCUGUGUUGCAGAAUUCACCAACCUUAAGUCCCACCAAAGUAUUCUUUGGCUUGGUCUUCAAAUCUUCCUUGUGCUCUUCAGUAGUGCCGUUGGGACGAGUAAGCUUAAGUGUCACUGGACCGUUCAUGCAAAGAUUGUCGCUAAGCUCCACAGCCAAAUACACUCCGUAUUUCACUCCCUUGAUGAGGUUGUUGGCAUUGUACUUUCCGUCAAUUUGUAGCCAGCAUACUGUGAUCAGUUCAGCAACCUCCAGAGACUGGCAGCUGUGUGUACAAAAGUCCGAAAAACCAAAUAUUAUGUAAAACUUUAUCUCAAAUCUUUGGUCUCGAAAAAUGGAAGUCAAUAAUGUCCAGUCAUUAAAUUUUGUAGUACAAAAACACCAAAAGCUUUCCAACAUGUGCUAUACAUACCUGAUUGGGUAGGUCUUAGAAACCCAUUUCCAGUAGCGGCUGUCUGAACCCCAAACUAUUGAGAGCUCCUUUGCACUGAUAACCGCUGCGAAGGACUGGACCAAUUCAUCAACAUUAACGGAGGUAUUUCCGAAUCAAAAUAUAUCGUACAAAAUUAUAUGACUAAUUAGACUAUAAUUAAGAACAAGUCACACGCAGGUAUACUGGUGUGUGCAUGGUGCAUGAAAAUAAUACUAUUGCAGAAUUAUAAUUUCAAUAGCUUAAUUAGUAUAUAAAAAGGUACCGAAAAUUAACAACCAAAACAACUUACACUCUUGUCUUUCACAGCCUGGACACCUUGAGUCCACAACGACACGAUGUCAUCACGCUGCAAUUGAGCCAUCUUCCUUGCUAGUUGAGAAUAAGAAGUUCUUGUGUAAUUCUUGUGCUGUCUAUGCCAAUCCUCACUUCCUUGAGCUGUAUUUAUAGCGUUUCAGACGGUCCUAUUUGUGCACUUAUUGAUAGUUACACUUAACCUUAUCUAUGGUAGUAGGAUGCUCUGUCCCGUUAUUCUUUCUUUUUAUUAAAUAAGUGGAGCUUGAAUAAGAGAUUCAUCAAUUAUUUAUGCCAUUUGUGCGGUAGAAGCCUCACUGGAAUCUGGUAACUUUCGGUUUUGAUUGAAAUACUCAUAUAACGAUGAAAUUGUGGAAGCAUCCUACUAUGAAAAAAGAAAUACAUACAGUGACAGGAGUACUUCUGUCAGAUCUCGGAAAUUGCUCAACUCGAUUAACUCUGAAAUUAAAUAUUGGCACACAUGAACCAAACCACAAAAAACUGAGCUUCUCAUGAAUCGUUGAACAAGUAUAUUCUGGAAACUGAACUAGAAAAUUCGUCACAAGAUCUGCCUGUAUAAAUAAACUUAUAAUUACUUUCAAGGCUGUUAAAUUUUAUAAUAUAUGUUCGUGAAAAAAUAUUCCUAAUCCAGAAUACCAACUACCACAGGUUGUUUCUGACCAUUAUUGGUAACCUUUUUGCCCAGAUACCGACCAAAUUAAGUUAUUUCUAAGUAAACACAUAAUUUAAGAAAUGAACCACAUUUCCGACCGCUAGUGUAUGAAAUCCGGUCGGUAAUGACUUCACGGUCGGAAAUGAAUUUAGUUUGUUGGAUUUAAAACAGCGAAUCCCCAAAUGAUCCUGCAAUACCUUCUGACUGAAUUUUUUUUAAAAAAAAACCCUUCUGACCGACUCAUUUCCGACCAACUCAGUUGGUCGCUUUUAUAAUAGGGGCUCCCCAAUUGAACCUUGAAUUUCGUUUUGACCGAAUCAUUUCCGACCAACGUUAUUGGUUGGUUUUAAAACAGGGCCCCAAAUGAACCCUAAAAUUUAUUUCCGACCGCCCCUAGUUGCUUUUAGGUCUAUUCAAGUGUAUGCCAGGUUCUAAGAAAAUUUUAAAACAUUACCGACUAAAGAUAGCGGUCGGUUGUCGGUCGGUUAUAAAUAUCAUUUCCGAUCUUUUAUUUACAACCAGGUUUUAAAGGACCAACACAAUCGGUCGGUCGGUGGUCGGUUACGAGUUGAAAACCGACCAACUCUCUUUAUUUCCGGUCGGCGGUCGGAAAUGCCCGCUUUUCUUGUAGUGAUAGCAACUUCCAUCGGAACACAAUAUCUUACACUUUUUAAGUCAUAAAUCACUGUUUUAAACUUUCCAAACAGCUUCCAAGUAUCAUAUUAAGCUUAUCUGAUGGCCCUUGUACUCGAAACAGAAUAAAACAUAUACAAACGAACACCACCAGAGCAAGGGUGUAGCCAAAAAGCUCAGAAAUUGCGUUAAAACCUUUUUAACAUCUUUGUGCGAGGGAGUAACUAAACAAAAGGUGAUUAAAGCACUCUGCUUAAAGUGUCAACGAAACUAAGUUCGUGUACACUUGAAUGAAAUUGAAAAAAAGAAUGAAAUGGAAAAUUGUUCGUAAAUUUAAUGGAAAAUGAACAAGUUACGAGCAGUGUUACGAAAAUUGGACCUAAUCGGUUAUCCUACCCAUUCAGGAUUAUCGGCAAUACGUGAUUAAUCGGAAGGAUUAAUUGGAGUGAAAACCAGAUAUAUUUUAAUAUUAAAUAAUAUUUAAUAUUUUUUUAUUAUUAUAUUAGUUAUUUAUUAUCAAAUAUAUAUAUUUAGUAUAUCAUAAAUUCUACGGUUGUUCAUAUUUAAAGUAAUAUAAUAGUUAAUUUUAAUAAAUUUUAUAUAUAAUUUGAUUAAAAAAAAUUUAUAAGGAUUAAUCAGAUUUUAAAAAUCAUAUCGGUCGCCUACCUUGGGGGAUUGAUCGUUAAAUCAAGCGAUUUUUAGAACAAUGGAUACGAGACAAUAGUGACUAAACACGGAUGAGCCUAAAUUUAGUGUACUCUUAGACUUUGCUGAGAGAAUGAAAUGAAAAUUGUAUUAUAUUUUGGGGAGGUUGGAGUAAAUGUUUAUAAUUUUCAUUACUUCUAUCAUUCUACACACCAUUCUACGUACACCAUUUGAGUUAAAAAAAUCUAACCCACAUAUUUUGAAAGGAAUGCUCGAUUCCAUUUCAUCUAACCCACAUAUUUUGAAAGGAAUGCUCGAUUCCAUUUCUUCUCUAUUUUCCAACAAUCCCCGUCAUGCAAAAUUCAGAUUCUCGAACUCACUCACUAUUGUCUAAUACAUUCUCCUUUCUCUUUUGUAGUUUCUCAUUCCAAGUGAACGCAACUUUAGUGUGCUUAAUUAAACAAACAUCAGCACACAACAAUAUACAGUUCCUCAUUAUGUUUAACUUAUCUUUUAGUCAGAUCUUUAAGUUGAAAGUGCUAAAGUGACAGUAGAGACCUUGAAGCAAUUACGAGCUAAACGUUAUAAUAGCUUGAACACUCCUUACUUUAACUUUUUAUAUAUUAAAAGCACCAACAUAUUGGCGAUUAUUUCACACAUUCCAUAUCAGCCACACCAGAUAGUUGAUGUUGGCAAUUGGAAAUUAUUUAGUACAUGAUGAUAAUCAGAUUCAUGUUUAGCAGUUAACUGGGGCAAUGACAGCACCAACGACAGUAAGGCCAGUCUUCCAGGUGGUUCCAUCACAUCCAUUCAUCGAGAACUUGACAAUAUUCUCACAGCCGCAGGGGGCUGUGUUGCAGAAUUCACCAACCUUAAGCCCCACCAAUGUAUUCUUUGGCUUGGUCGUCAAAUCUUCCUUGUGCUCUUCAGUAGUGCCGUUGGGACGAGUAAGCUUAAGGGUCACUGGACCGUUCAUGCAAAGAUUGUCGCUAAGCUCCACAGCAAGAUACACUCCGUAUUUCACUCCCUUGAUGAGGUUGGUGGCACUGUACUUUCCGUCAAUUUGUAGCCAGCAUACUGUGAUGAGUUCAGCAACCUCCAGAGGCUGGGGACUGUGUGUACAAAAGUCCGAAAACCCAAAUAUC